GAUGAACGCUGGCGGCGUGCUUAACACAUGCAAGUCGAACGGGAAACCUUUUAUUGAAGCUUCGGCAGAUUUAGCUGGUUUCUAGUGGCGGACGGGUGAGUAACGCGUGGGUAACCUGCCUUAUACAGGGGGAUAACAGUCAGAAAUGACUGCUAAUACCGCAUAAGCGCACAGAGCUGCAUGGCUCGGUGUGAAAAACUCCGGUGGUAUAAGAUGGACCCGCGUUGGAUUAGCUGGUUGGUGAGGUAACGGCCCACCAAGGCGACGAUCCAUAGCCGGCCUGAGAGGGUGAACGGCCACAUUGGGACUGAGACACGGCCCAGACUCCUACGGGAGGCAGCAGUGGGGAAUAUUGCACAAUGGGGGAAACCCUGAUGCAGCGACGCCGCGUGAAGGAAGAAGUAUCUCGGUAUGUAAACUUCUAUCAGCAGGGAAGAAAAUGACG
rnacentral:rRNA from 1 species